ACGGGACUAGCUCAACGGGUAGAGCAACGUAAUAUGUGUAUAGAAGGGAUACACUAACAGCAUUUUAAUUUGCCAUUUAAGCCGUAGGUUGUAGGUUCGACUCCUACUUCCCGUC
rnacentral:tRNA from 1 species